UGCGUAGGCGGAAUAUUAAGUCAGUGGUGAAAUCCUGCGGCUCAACCGUAGAACUGCCAUUGAUACUGAUAUUCUUGAAUGUAGUUGAGGUAGGCGGAAUGUGUAAUGUAGCGGUGAAAUGCUUAGAUAUUACACAGAACACCGAUUGCGAAGGCAGCUUACUAAACUAUGAUUGACGCUGAGGCGCGAAAGCGUGGGGAGCGAACAGGAUUAGAUACCCUGGUAGUCC
rnacentral:rRNA from 1 species